UUCCAAGUAGCUCAGUUGGUAGAGCGUCCGACUGUUAAUCGGAUGGUCGCAGGUUCGAGUCCUGCCUUGGGAGCCA
rnacentral:tRNA from 1 species